CCUACGGGGGGCAGCAGUGGGGGAUAUUGCACAAUGGGGGAAACCCUGAUGCAGCGACGCCGCGUGAGUGAAGAAGUAUUUCGGUAUGUAAAGCUCUAUCAGCAGGGAAGAAAAAAGACGGUACCUGACUAAGAAGCCCCGGCUAACUACGUGCCAGCAGCCGCGGUAAUACGUAGGGGGCAAGCGUUAUCCGGAUUUACUGGGUGUAAAGGGAGCGUAGACGGCAAUACAAGUCGGAAGUGAAAUACCCGGGCUUAACCUGGGAACUGCUUUGGAAACUGUAUGGCUGGAGUGCUGGAGAGGUAAGCGGAAUUCCUAGUGUAGCGGUGAAAUGCGUAGAUAUUAGGAGGAACACCAGUGGCGAAGGCGGCUUACUGGACAGUAACUGACGUUGAGGCUCGAAAGCGUGGGGAGCAAACAGGAUUAGAUACCCGAGUA
rnacentral:rRNA from 1 species